AUCUGAAUGUUUAAUAAGCAAAAUAAAAAUAUGAAAAAUUUUUUAAACAAUGCUAUGAAUAAUACCUCGAUCAAAAAUACUGUAAUAUUUACGUAUGAAAUUAUUACCAAGAACAAAAAGUGAUGUAUUAAUUUUCCCAGGCAUGAAUCCAGGCACGCAAUGUUCUAUUCCUUUUUUCUAAAUGAAAACAACUGUAACGUCAUUGUUAUGUGAAAAUUGUAACAAGUACGUCUUUUUCCUGAAUUAUAAUAUCCUCGGAACUUAAACGAAAUUCAACAGGAUUCUCUGAAUGUAGUCGUUACAAUACAUAUAUAAUAUACUAAGUUUGUCUUGCCUACCGUCUAUAUCGUUCAGGACUAUACUCAAAUGUGGAACAUGCUUUUUAUUGGAGCAAUCUUCAGCAACAUGGAGUUUAUCAAACAAUAAAUUUAAAAAAUGAGAGGGUACCUAAUAAUCGUAAAAUAAGUUGAAGUUUCAAUCAUUUUUUAAACCUUUCUACCGUUAUUAAUGAACUUCCAGUAUCCACUGCCCCUCUGCAUUUGUUUUUGUGAUUUUUUUUAUCCGAACAAAAAUUCAACGAUUUCCCGUUUACUUUAAAAUCCACAAUUGAAAUCUAAUUCAAGACCAUAUAUUGCCAAAUUACACAUUUUAUUCAAAUUACUUUCUACCUCCCUACAGAUACAAUUUUAUUUUAUGUUUAACAUGUUCAAAAUAUCAGUACCAAUACUCUGUCGACACGACUGGAACCCAUAUUGGAUGAUCAUUAUGAUAAACAUAUCUAGGGUCAAUAGAUCCAAAAGAUAAUGCUCCUGGUGACAUUAAUACAUUAAAAUAUAUAAUGUGAGUUUUCCAUUCAACAGUCAUUAACAUAAAAUAUAAACAAAAGAAAAGUCGAUAAUUUUUUAUUGUACACUUAAUUAACCAGUUUUAUUUCAUUUUUUUCAAAGUGAAAAAAUCUUAACGAAAAUUAUUCAAACCUGGUUCAUCCACGUUUUUAGACAUGUAUACCGCAAAAAUAUUACGCUUAAGAACACCCUGACGUUUCAUAUUGUCUAUCAAAGGCGCUUCCGUCAAAAGAGAACCUGGCUCAGGAAAACCCUAAGCAAUAAUUUAUGAUAGGACUAACUAUAAUAAAAUUUAUUUUCCUGUACCAAUCCAACAAGUCCAUCUAUAGGAUAUACGUAACACAUUAUCACCUUUUAUUAAAAACAAAUUAACAAAAGCAUUACCAAACGGUAGAUCAACAAAAGGAUGAGUACUUUCUAUGCGUGCCGUUCCAAAUGUUUGGUUUCGAACCGAAAGGGAACCAAUCUGCGCUGUGUCUUGACCUAAAUCUAAAACGCAUGACCCCGUUCCAUAUUGAAUGUACUCUUGAUUUUUUCCCUACAAUAAUCACUUUUUUUAAUAAUAACUUGUUUAAAUACAUUAAAAAAAGAAGACAAAUACAAAGAAAUUAAUCGCUAUGACAAUUUUGUUACCUUUUUUAAAGGCAAAAAUGAAGAACUUCUCAAAGGAUCAAACCCUUAAAAUAUAUAAUUGAAAUGGGUCACAAAACAAAAAAAAUUACGAGAAUGAUGUAAGCAUCCUCCAGUCUGACAUUUAGCGCUCGGUACCCAUAAUGUUGAACUUCCUGUGUCAAACUGAAAAUUUUAACAUGUUCACAUAUAAAACUGUAAUUAAAAGACUCGUCUUUUACAACUACAAUAAACGGUUUUCCUGGGGUACCCAAUCGUAAUUCUCCAAAAUACUACACAAAAUUACAAAGUAGACAUUCAUAACAUUAUACCCAAUAAAAGAUGAAAACGUAUACUUGACUGUUGUGAAAAUUCAGUAAAUCUUGAUUCGCUCGAGGUGUAUGAGUUUUGUUACGCACUGAUACGGUGUAAUGAUAUAGUAGCUGGAUUCGGUAGGUAAAUGUUAUUCCAUAGUUUAUCUCUGUGACGCUUUAUAACUUUGCGUGUUAUUAUUUUUUCUAUGCAAAAA